UUCUUUCUUUUUUCACUUUUCUUUUUCUCUUCUCCUUUCCCUUUCCCUUUCCCUUUUUUAUUUUGUUCUGAUUAUGAACAAUAACAACUUGAAUUCUGUUUCUAACCA
rnacentral:ribozyme from 14 species